GUGGUUCGGCAUCCAGAGUAAGGAAGCUCAUGGAUUACACUAAUUUUUGCUAGCUGUGGACAAGAACUUUCCCAAACUGGUCGCUCGUUAUUCCGGCGAGCCCUCAGUUUUCAGAUCACGACUGUCCAUCUCCCCUUCUUUAUAUUACCAGAGUACCCUUUACAUGUGCUAUCAGUAGUAGCCUCAUAUUUCCUCAAUAGGGCUUUGAAAUCCAGCUUUUUGUCAAUAUUCUGUGUAUGGUCUAGCUACAUUCAGCGCUUUGAAUCUCACAAUAGCGAUUGGACGAACUUGAUGCAGAUCCUCCAAUUUUGGCCGUCCUAUCGGUGAUAUGAUAGCUAUCGAUGGCAUAGUAUCUGCAGAUGAGAUGGUUAUUUUUGUAUGUAAUGCAAUAUUUUCACUAACUAGACCUAUAAAAAUUUAGGGACCGUGCAUUAAGUGAUGAAGUUUUACAGG
rnacentral:sRNA from 1 species